AAUGAACGCUGGCGGCAUGCCUUACACAUGCAAGUCGAACGGCAGCAUGACCUAGCUUGCUAGGUUGAUGGCGAGUGGCGAACGGGUGAGUAAUGCAUCGGAACGUGCCUUUUAGUGGGGGAUAACGUAGCGAAAGUUACGCUAAUACCGCAUAUUCUCUGAGGAGGAAAGCAGGGGACCUUCGGGCCUUGCGCUAGAAGAGCGGCCGAUGUCGGAUUAGCUAGUUGGUGAGGUAAAGGCUCACCAAGGCAACGAUCCGUAGCGGGUCUGAGAGGAUGAUCCGCCACACUGUGACUGAGACACGGCCCAGACUCCUACGGGAGGCAGCAGUGGGGAAUUUUGGACAAUGGGCGCAAGCCUGAUCCAGCCAUGCCGCGUGAGUGAAGAAGGCCUUCGGGUUGUAAAGCUCUUUCGGCUGGGAAGAAAUCGCACCCUCUAAUACAGGGUGUGGAUGACGGUACCAGCAUAAGAAGCACCGGCUAACUACGUG
rnacentral:rRNA from 1 species